rnacentral:rRNA from 1 species
CCUACGGGUGGCAGCAGUCGAGAAUCAUUCACAAUGGGGGAAACCCUGAUGGUGCGACGCCGCGUGGGGGAAUGAAGGUCUUCGGUUUGUAAACCCCUGUCAUGUGGGAGCAAAUUAAAAAGAUAGUACCACAAGAGGAAGAGCCGGCUAACUCUGUGCCAGCAGCCGCGGUAAUACAGAGGUCUCAAGCGUUGUUCGGAAUCACUGGGCGUAAAGCGUGCGUAGGCUGUUACGUAAGUCGUGUGUGAAAGGCGCGGGCUCAACCCGCGGACGGCACAUGAUACUGCGAGACUAGAGUAAUGGAGGGGGAACCGGAAUUCUCGGUGUAGCAGUGAAAUGCGUAGAUAUCGAGAGGAACACUCGUGGCGAAGGCGGGUGCCUGGACAUUAACUGACGCUGAGGCACGAAGGCCAGGGGAGCGAAAGGGAUUAGAUACCCCAGUAGUC